GAGAAAAGACGGCCUUCGGAGCUCUAACUUAUUGUCUUUUUUGAGGAGAACGGAGCUCUGAUCUGCUCUUGCUUUUUCGUCAGUGCCUGGCGGAGAAACGGAUUAAAACUGAAAAUUAUUGAAUUUCGAUUAAUAAUGAAAGACAGAGUUCCUGAGUUCUGAAGUCGUUCGUAUCAAAGAAAUACAUGGCACAUCUUCUUUCUCAUGGAGAGCUUGGUGGGAGUGGCUAGCUAUUGAUCAAGCAUUCACCACAUCCAGUUAUAGGUAUGCAAAAUAUAGUUUGCAUAGAACUCUGAAGGCCAUAGGAACUCUUUCUUGACAACAGAAGCUUUGCCACAAUGAUAAGUACUUUCAGUGAAACAUAAACUUCCACUGAACUCCAGUAAAGUCUUGAGAUCGGGUCAAGAGAUAAGCUGCCAAAAACCUGCUUAUAUCGGAUCAAGAGAUAAAACAUCUUGAAGAAUUGAUUCAUGGAUUCGGGGCAAUGUUAAUUGAGUUGGAUAAACAAAGUCUGGCUAUUUUGAACAAAGUUGUUCAGCUAAACUUUGCAUUUGAUACUUGCUAGAAGUUGUCCAAGCAAGAGAAAUACUUGGCCGCCAACCUUUCUCAAUGCCAAUUUGAUCAACUCCAUGGUCAGUUUUUGCAUGUUAUUGCAGAAAAAGAUUCCUUGCAAUCAGUCAAUGAAGGUCUAAAUAGUAAGGUCGCUGAGCUGCAACAAGUUCAAGAAUUUGUGAUGGUGCAACAUUCUGAGGAAUGCCGUCUAGCUGAGGAGAAAAUUCGGAGGUUGGAGUCUAAGGCAUCACUGACUUUUGUUUCAAAGAAGGCCGAGUUGGAGAUGUUGGUCCAAGUUAGAGGAGAACAUCAAGAAUCUUAUAUAUGCUUCAAAUCAAUCUGAAAACAAAAUGCAAGAUUUAUUGCUGAAAAUAUCAACAUUAGAAUCUGAGAACCAAGAUAUUCAAGAGAAAUCACAGGCAAAGCUACUAAAGAAAGCAGACAAAAUAGAAACUCUUGAGAAAGAGAUUGACAAGCAUUUGGAGCUUGUGAGUUCCUUGAGAAACAAGUCAGCCAGCUUCAUGACAGUUCAAAAGAGAAGGAGCAGCAACUUCUGCAAUCAAUAGACAGCAGGAAACAGUUAGAAGAUAAAAAAGAAGAGGUUAUAGAAAAAGUUGGAGUUUUUUGGUAUUGUAAUGUUAAGAGAGCUUAGUGAGUAUUUAAGAGAGAAAUUAUGUUUUUGCAGAUUCAAUCAUAGCUAGCAGUAGUUGAAAGCAAACUUGUAGAAGCGGAAAAGGAAUAUGAUUUGAUGUUGGAAAGUAAACAAUUAGAGCUAUCAAAGCAUUUGAAGGAUGUAUCUCA